CAGUCGCCGCGGGAAUACGAAGGGUGCAAGCGUUAAUCGGAAUUACUGGGCGUAAAGCGUGCGUAGGCGGUGAGUUAAGUCUGCUGUGAAAUCCCCGGGCUCAACCUGGGAAUGGCAGUGGAUACUGGCUCGCUAGAGUGUGUCAGAGGAUGGUAGAAUUCCCGGCGUAGCGGUGAAACGCGUAGAGAUCGGGAGGAACAUCAGUGGCGAAGGCGGCCAUCUGGGACAACACUGACGCUGAGGCACGAAAGCGUGGGGAGCAAACAGGAUUAGAUACCCGUGUAGUCCCUGUCUCUUAUAC
rnacentral:rRNA from 1 species